CCUGCCACGUGCAUCGCAGUGGAUAAAAACUGGAAGGACUAGUUUUGUCUUUCUCUUUCUGCCUGUCGUCGUGUUAACGAGUGUGUGGGCCUUCGGGCCACACACACACAUACAGCUCUCGCCAUCGUCCACGGUACUCGAUCUAAAGUCCUGUGUUUUUGAUGCAGCAAGAUUAGGAAUUGCAAUAUACCGUAAAAAUGAACGCUGUGACAGUCCCGUCGGACUAACGAGUAGCACAUGCCGCAGGGCAUUCAUGAAUGUGUUUUUUUCUUAUAACAUAUCGAAUAUAGGCUAAUCAAGAAAAGUAUUUUUGUGAUUUAUAUAGGUUAAUCAAGAAAUGUGUGUUUUUGUGAUUUAAUAAAUGUAUAUUUAAAAGAGAAAUACUGAUUCAUGCAUGCCUUAUUGGGUUUUGAACCCUCACAAAUGACUCCAGCAGAAAAAUCAAAAUUAAACAUUAAUAAUUGAAGAUCAUUUCAAGAAGACCUGGACAGAAUCAUUUGGAGUUACUGAAUACAAUAGGAAAGGAUUAAGCACUCCGUGCGGGGAAAGUAUUGUGUGAUGCACAUCUAGUGUCAGACGGCACUUUAACACCAUCCACAAAAUUUUUGAUGAACUUUAUGAAGCUGAACGGAAGAAAGUUGGUUUUUGCAAUUAUCUUUCUAAAACAAACCAUCUAACAACGACUAGCUUUCAAAUUUCACUAUGCCUGGCAAAGCGCUUUCCGAUGGGGAUUUAAUCAAAGAGAUCAUGUUGUCUGGGAGUAAUUCCCUUUUUCAUGACUUUCCAAAUAAGAACAAAAUUAAACAACGUAUGGCUGAGAUGCCAUUUAGCAGAAAUACUGUUAAAGAUCGAGUCCUGCGGAUGGCAAGUGAUAUAGGUCAAAAGCUCACCACUGACUUGCAAAAGGCAGCUGUUACCCAAUGUGCGUAGAUUGAAAGCACAGAUAUAAAAAACUAUGCAAGGCUAGCAAUAGUUUUGCGUUAUGCUGUUGGUGAUACGGUGAGAGAAGAGCUGAUUAAAUUGGCAUCUUUGUUCGAAGGAACAGAAGGAAUAUAUAUUCACAAUGCUGUGAUGGGAGCUUUUUUACAACAAGCCAUAAAACUGGAAAAGGUAGGUUCAAUUACUAGUCAUGGUACGCCUUACAUGUUGGGAACAGCAUCUGGUUUCAUAGAGUUCUUUGUUAAAGAAGCAAAACAGCUAGUUAUUCAGUUUCAUUGUCUCAUUCACCAAGAAGCUCUUUGUGCGAGAGACAGCUGCAAAAUAUUAGAUGCUGUUCUCAAAGAUGUCACCAAAAUGGUGAAUUACAUCACAGUUCGAGCUCUUAAUUGUCGACAGUUUCAAGCACUUCUUGAUGAGGUUCAAGCACAAUAUAACGCUUUGUACAAUAAUGUCUGAUGGUUGAGCAGAGGACGGGUUUUAGAGAUAUGUGUAAGCUGUUUAGAUGAAAUUAGGCUAUUUUUGAAUGAAAAAGGGCAGGAUUAUCCGCAGCUCACUUAUAUGGUCUGGCUUAACAAACGUUAAGUUUUUACCGAUUUUACACAGAACUUCAAUGUAUUGAAUGAGCAACUGCAAGCCUUAUAAAAAUGAGAGAAAGAAUGUUUUGCGAUAUAAAAACAUUUGUUUAUAGACAAAACUUCCUGUUUUUGAAAGAGAUUUUGCAAGUUGGCAGCUGAACUAUUUUCCAAAUCUAAAGAUGCAUCUAGAAAAUUCUAUACAAUUUGCACACAGUCCUUCAAGUCAUGAAGAAAUCUACAAAGAAUUUCCGGGCAUCGUAGCAGCUGCAAAGGAGAGUUUUAAUGACAGAUUUCCCUACAGUUCCGUCAUAUGGAAACAAACAUGUGUUUUCUUACUUCUCCAAAUAAAUCUAAGUUUGAAGAACUUGAUCUUUCUUGCUUAUUCAAGAAAUCUCUACAUGGAAAAGAAAAUUAUCUGAUCUGUGCGCAUCACUUGUUAAGAGAUCACACAUGAUAGCACAAUUGAUAGUUAUGAAGACGAAAUCCUUUGAAAGCCUGGAAUUUUCUGUCAAAUAAGUUUAAAUCAAUGGAAACACUUUGGGGUGCUAUUCUUACCUUGUUUGGAUCAUCUUAUGAGUGGGAACAGCUGUUUUCAGCUUUGAAUUAUAUCAAAUAUGACAUAAGAACAGAUUGACAGAUAACCUGAGUGCUGCAUGUGUUGCGCUCAAAUUAAAAAAGUAUGAGACAAGGUUUGACAAAUUAUCAGUAUGUAUACAACAGAAAAAAAAAAAUCUGAAAUGUUUCAGAUUUUAAAUUACGUCCAAAGAGGCGUUUUUUAACA